GACACUAACAUCCCUGCUGCCAAUAC
rnacentral:piRNA from 1 species